rnacentral:rRNA from 1 species
CUUACACAUGCAGUCGAACGAUGAACCACUUCGGUGGGGAUUAGUGGCGAACGGGUGAGUAACACGUGGGCAAUCUGCCCUUCACUCUGGGACAAGCCCUGGAAACGGGGUCUAAUACCGGAUAAUACUUCUCCAGGCAUCUGGAGGGGUUGAAAGCUCCGGCGGUGAAGGAUGAGCCCGCGGCCUAUCAGCUUGUUGGUGAGGUAGUGGCUCACCAAGGCGACGACGGGUAGCCGGCCUGAGAGGGCGACCGGCCACACUGGGACUGAGACACGGCCCAGACUCCUACGGGAGGCAGCAGUGGGGAAUAUUGCACAAUGGGCGAAAGCCUGAUGCAGCGACGCCGCGUGAGGGAUGACGGCCUUCGGGUUGUAAACCUCUUUCAGCAGGGAAGAAGCGAAAGUGACGGUACCUGCAGAAGAAGCGCCGGCUAACUACGUGCCAGCAGCCGCGGUAAUACGUAGGGCGCAAGCGUUGUCCGGAAUUAUUGGGCGUAAAGAGCUCGUAGGCGGUCUGUCACGUCGGAUGUGAAAGCCCGGGGCUUAACCCCGGGUCUGCAUUCGAUACGGGCAGACUAGAGUGUGGUAGGGGAGAUCGGAAUUCCUGGUGUAGCGGUGAAAUGCGCAGAUAUCAGGAGGAACACCGGUGGCGAAGGCGGAUCUCUGGGCCAUUACUGACGCUGAGGAGCGAAAGCGUGGGGAGCGAACAGGAUUAGAUACCCUGGUAGUCCACGCCGUAAACGGUGGGAACUAGGUGUUGGCGACAUUCCACGUCGUCGGUGCCGCAGCUAACGCAUUAAGUUCCCCGCCUGGGGAGUACGGCCGCAAGGCUAAAACUCAAAGGAAUUGACGGGGGCCCGCACAAGCAGCGGAGCAUGUGGCUUAAUUCGACGCAACGCGAAGAACCUUACCAAGGCUUGACAUACACCGGAAAGCAUUAGAGAUAGUGCCCCCCUUGUGGUCGGUGUACAGGUGGUGCAUGGCUGUCGUCAGCUCGUGUCGUGAGAUGUUGGGUUAAGUCCCGCAACGAGCGCAACCCUUGUUCUGUGUUGCCAGCAUGCCCUUCGGGGUGAUGGGGACUCACAGGAGACUGCCGGGGUCAACUCGGAGGAAGGUGGGGACGACGUCAAGUCAUCAUGCCCCUUAUGUCUUGGGCUGCACACGUGCUACAAUGGCAGGUACAAUGAGCUGCGAAGCCGCGAGGCGGAGCGAAUCUCAAAAAGCCUGUCUCAGUUCGGAUUGGGGUCUGCAACUCGACCCCAUGAAGUCGGAGUUGCUAGUAAUCGCAGAUCAGCAUUGCUGCGGUGAAUACGUUCCCGGGCCUUGUACACACCGCCCGUCACGUCACGAAAGUCGGUAACACCCGAAGCCGGUGGCCCAACCCCCUUGUGGGGAGGGAGCUGUCGAAGGUGAGUACUC